UACGUAGGGGGCUAGCGUUGUCCGGAUUUAUUGGGCGUAAAGAGCGUGUAGGCGGCCAUGUAGGUCCGGUGUGAAAACUCGAGGCUUAACCUCGAGAUGUCAUCGGAAACCAUUUGGCUAGAGUCCGGAAGAGGAGAGUGGAAUUCCUGGUGUAGCGGUGAAAUGCGCAGAUAUCAGGAGGAACACCUAUUGCGAAGGCAGCUCGCUGGGACGUAACUGACGCUGAGGCGCGAAAGCGUGGGGAGCAAACAGG
rnacentral:rRNA from 1 species